rnacentral:rRNA from 1 species
GUCGAGAAUAAUUCACAAUGGGGGCAACCCUGAUGGUGCAACGCCGCGUGGAGGAUGAAGGUCUUCGGAUUGUAAACUCCUGUCAUCCGGGAGCAAGACCUGGCCGUGAAUAGCGGACAGGGUUGAUAGUACCGGAAGAGGAAGGGACGGCUAACUUCGUGCCAGCAGCCGCGGUAAUACGAAGGUCCCGAGCGUUGUUCGGAAUCACUGGGCGUAAAGGGAGCGUAGGCGGCGCGGUAAGUCAGAUGUGAAAUCCUAGGGCUCAACCCUGGAACUGCAGCCGAUACCGCUGUGCUUGAGCAAUGGAGAGGUAGCCGGAAUUCUCGGUGUAGCAGUGAAAUGCGUAGAUAUCGAGAGGAACACUCGUGGCGAAAGCGGGCUACUGGACAUUUGCUGACGCUGAGGCUCGAAGGCCGGGGGAGCGAAAGGGAUUAGAAACCCCGGUAGUCC